rnacentral:lncRNA from 1 species
AUAUUGAUUUAUUGAACAUUAAACUCACUAAAGUCUAAGACAUAUUGAUUUAUUCAAUUUUUAUUCGUAGGAAAAUUCUUCUAAUGGUGAUUCAAUUUUUCUCAUCAGAAUUAUCUAUAUAUAUUCAUUAUUUAUAUGUGGAUCGUUUUUUUCAUUAUAAAUGAUAUUCGCAAGAUAAUUCAACCAAUCAUUAUGAUCAUAAUCUAUAUAGCUAGAGCAAGAUCAUUUCAAUCGUCAUCCUCAGAAGGACACAUGGUGGUACUUUAAUCCAUAAUCUGUAGUGCACAUAAUUUUUUAUUAGCAAAAUAAUUAACAAUUCAAUAGAAUAUUCACCUAAUUUUUUACAUUCUACCAAUCUUGUU